UCGAGUUAGGGUCUUCUAGGCCCGACCUCCCAACCCUUUGUUUACCGAACCACUGUUGCUUCGGCGGGCCCGUCUCACGACCGCCGGAGGAGCGCUGAAAGGCGUGUCCUCUGGCCCGCGUCCGCCGAUGGCCAACCACA
rnacentral:misc_RNA from 1 species